AAAUGGGUAAACGAAAAUACCCCAAAUUUUAACAUAAGCGAAAUUACAAUUUGUUCUAAAGAAAUUUAUAAAAUUUUUAAGUUUAAAUUAAUAUGUUAGUUUAAUUUUAAAAUUUUAAUAUAUCGAUAUGUCAUUAAAUGAUUAUGAAAUGCUUUAAAAAGUAUUCGAGGGAGGGAGGGAGGAGCUUAACAAUGGAAGAGACCAGGAGGGACUAUGUUUCCGUUCUAGCAGCCAAACGCCUAAAAGAAGAAGCCCCUUUAUUUAUCGCCAAAAUUUUCAGCACUCACCGCCAUGGCCAAUAAUCCUUCUCAGCUCCUACCAUCAGGGCGAUUGAAAGAUGGUUCUUUUAUUGAUUGCGAUGAUUCUGGUGCCACAUUUAUUGAAGCUCAACUAGACGGGAACAUGACUGAGAUGUUUAAAGAACCGCAGAUGGAUUUGCUAGAGGAGUUGCUACCAUUCAGUCUGAAUGAAAGGUUUGACUACUUUUGCUGUUGUUCACGUGGCUUACUUUGACUCUAUUGGGGUGGCGAUUAGUGUUAGGUUUAGCCAUACUUAGAGUUAGAUUCGAACCGAGUCUAUUCGAACUCGAAUUCAAACUCGAUUUGAAUAAGCCUGAAACGAGCCAACCCUAACCGAGCUCGAGUUCAACUAUAUGUGAACCGAGCCGAGCUUAAGCUCGGCUCAGAUCGAAUCCAGCACUACCCAUACUUCCUAUCAUUAGGUCUCUUUAAAGAAGAAAAAUCUAUUUUUAACGGUAAAUUUUCUCUUAAGGAAGCCUUUUUUGUAAUGAUUGAUUAUGGAACUACUCUCAUAUGGUGUACCGUGUUAUUAUUUAGAUGAUUAAUUGUCACUUAAGAAAUAGAUACAUGAGUUUAACUGAGAUAUAUAAUUUUGAUGAUAAAAAAUUACUGAACUAUUUUAUUAAAUAAAGUAAAUCUCUAUAAAAGGUAACUCAGGUGAUAAAAGGGUAGCUUCUAAGAUAUAAAGGUUGAGUUUUUAAAUCCUCUUAACAACAUAUCAAAAUAAUAUUCUUCACUUAUGUAGUAUUUAACCAAGACCAAGAAAAGUGUGAAAUUUAUAUAUGUAUAUUUUUAUCCUUUUUAAAUUAAUUGUUUACUUGGCAGGAUAACAUCAUAUAGUUGAGUGAUAUAAAUACAUGAAUGUUCACAUCAUAUAGUUGAGUGAUAUAAAUCCAUAAAUGGUCACAUCAUGUGGGCAAAAAUCAUGGUAUGAGAAUACCAAAUUUACUUAAUGCUCUUGUGACUGGACUAAUUUAAUAUUUAAUAAAAAAAAUUUAAUGUUAAAGAAUAUAUGGGUUAUUUGAUUUUAACUUAAGAAACUUAUAACACAUUUAAAAUGUUGAAAUACCAAAUAUAGCAUAAUCCUAGUUUAUAAUUUAUUACAACCCUUUUUGAUAAAUGAAAAACUAGUAAUUUAUUAUAACAUACUCAGUAUGUUGGAGAUGUAUAGAAGGAGAAUUAUGAGGAGGUUGCAAUAGAGGUUAAAGGCUGAGAUUGAGUGGGUAACCCCACUGCCUCCUUUAGUUCUUUUAAGAUUGAAUAAAAAUAUUGAGGUAGCAAGGAAUGAUAGGAUUUUGCAUGCUUGGUUGAGAGAGUAUGAGGUUAUUGAUAUGACAGAUAUACUUAACAAAAGUUAUUGUUUGAAUCUGGACAAGAAAUUUUGUGACUGUUGCAUGUGGCAACUAUCUGGACUACCUUGCCAGCAUGCUAUUUGUGCAAUUAUGUAUAUGAAUUAUUCUGAUUUUGGGGAGUUUGCAAAUGAGAGGCUGAGGAUACCAACCUAUAUGAGGACAUAUGGGGCCAUGAUUCACCCUGUACCUAAUCAACGAAGUUGGGCAGAUGGAAAUGAAGAGCAACUCUAGACACUCUAGGCUUGGAAGGCCAAAGAAUACAAAGAUGAGGGACUCGAAGAGGAAAGGAAAAGGAAACCAGUCUCAACCUAAGAUACAGUGAGCCCCAUGAGUUGGGACACAACAAAAGGUCAUGUAAAAAUAAUCUUGACAAUGCCAAUAAAGUUAGGUCUAAGAGAAGGACAAUUGCUACCAUGACAAGUUAAUCUGGGAGGUCACAAUGCACACCAUCUCAGUCUGGAAGAGCACAGUAUGCAGCUUCCCAAUUUUUAUUUUUUUUAAUUUCUCCAGCAAAGGUUUCAUAACUGUCAAAUUACCAGGUUAAAAUUUUCAAUUUUUUUUUCCUAGGUUCCCAAAACCAUUAAAUCCAUGAAACCUGCAUUUGUCUAGUCUAGAGAAGGAGGAUUUCAGUCAAGUCAAGAGGAAAUUGCUUUUUUGUUUAAACAGAAAUUUUUUGUUGAUUUUUCAAGUUGUGGAUAUUGGUUCUGUUUUUGUGGUGGUGUAUAUGUGUUUAGUUCUCAGAAAUGGGAUUGAGUUGUUGAUAUUGGUUUUGUUUUCUAUUGGUGUAAAUGUGUUUAGUCUUUAGAACUUUGAUGUUGUUUAACUUUUUUCUGUUCAAUAUAUAUGAAGUUCAAGUGUGGUUAUA